GACGAACGCUGGCGGCGUGCUUAACACAUGCAAGUCGAACGGAAAGGCCCUGCUUUUGUGGGGUGCUCGAGUGGCGAACGGGUGAGUAACACGUGAGUGACCUGCCCUUGACUUUGGGAUAACUUCAGGAAACUGGGGCUAAUACCGGAUAGGAGCUCCUGCUGCAUGGUGGGGGUUGGAAAGUUUCGGCGGUUGGGGAUGGACUCGCGGCUUAUCAGCUUGUUGGUGGGGUAGUGGCUUACCAAGGCUUUGACGGGUAGCCGGCCUGAGAGGGUGACCGGCCACAUUGGGACUGAGAUACGGCCCAGACUCCUACGGGAGGCAGCAGUGGGGAAUAUUGCACAAUGGGCGGAAGCCUGAUGCAGCAACGCCGCGUGCGGGAUGACGGCCUGCGGGUUGUAAACCGCUUUCGCCUGUGACGAAGCGUGAGUGACGGUAAUGGGUAAAGAAGCACCGGCUAACUACGUG
rnacentral:rRNA from 1 species